GAUGAACGCUAGCGGGAGGCCUAACACAUGCAAGCCGAGCGGUAUUUGUUCUUCGGAACAGAGAGAGCGGCGCACGGGUGCGGAACACGUGUGCAACCUGCCUUUAUCUGGGGGAUAGCCUUUCGAAAGGAAGAUUAAUACCCCAUAAUAUAUUGAGUGGCAUCAUUUGAUAUUGAAAACUCCGGUGGAUAGAGAUGGGCACGCGCAAGAUUAGAUAGUUGGUGAGGUAACGGCUCACCAAGUCAAUGAUCUUUAGGGGGCCUGAGAGGGUGAUCCCCCACACUGGUACUGAGACACGGACCAGACUCCUACGGGAGGCAGCAGUGAGGAAUAUUGGACAAGGGGUUAGCGCCUGAUCCAGCCAUCCCGCGUGAAGGACGACGGCCCUAUGGGUUGUAAACUUCUUUUGUAUAGGGAUAAACCUACUCUCGGGAGAGUAGCUGAAGGUACUAGAAGAAUAAGCACCGGCUAACUCCGUG
rnacentral:rRNA from 1 species